UACGUAGGGGGCGAGCGUUGUCCGGAUUUAUUGGGCGUAAAGAGCUCGUAGGCGGCUUGGCAAGUCGGGUGUGAAACCUCCAGGCUCAACCUGGAGACGCCACUCGAUACUGCCAUGGCUAGAGUCCGGUAGGGGACCACGGAAUUCCUGGUGUAGCGGUGAAAUGCGCAGAUAUCAGGAGGAACACCGGUGGCGAAGGCGGUGGUCUGGGCCGGCACUGACGCUGAGGCGCGAAAGCGUGGGGAGCGAACCGG
rnacentral:rRNA from 1 species